CCAGACUCCUACGGGAGGCAGCAGUGAGGAAUAUUGGUCAAUGGCCGAGAGGCUGAACCAGCCAAGUCGCGUGAGGGAAGACGGUCCUAUGGAUUGUAAACCUCUUUUGUCGGGGAGCAAAAGACGCCACGCGUGGCGUUCCGAGAGUACCCGAAGAAAAAGCAUCGGCUAACUCCGUGCCAGCAGCCGCGGUAAUACGGAGGAUGCGAGCGUUAUCCGGAUUUAUUGGGUUUAAAGGGAGCGCAGGCGGGAAGCCAAGUCAGCUGUGAAAACUACGGGCUUAACUUGUAGACUGCAGUUGAAACUGGUUUUCUUGAGUGAAGUAGAGGUUGGCGGAAUUCCGAGUGUAGCGGUGAAAUGCGUAGAUAUUCGGAGGAACACCGGUGGCGAAGGCGGCCAACUGGGCUUUAACUGACGCUGAGGCUCGAAAGUGUGGGGAGCAAACAGGAUUAGAUACCCCUGUAAAA
rnacentral:rRNA from 1 species